rnacentral:rRNA from 1 species
AGAAGCAGCCACCCUUGAAAGAGUGCGUAAUAGCUCACUGGUCGAGUGAUUCUGCGCCGACAAUGUAACGGGGCUCAAGCACAGUGCCGAAGCUGCGUCAUGCGUAAGCAUGGGUAGGGGAGCGUCGAUCUCUGCAGUGAAGCGACCGGGGAACCGUGUCGUGGAGCGUGGUCGAGUGCGAAUGCCGGUAUGAGUAGCGAACGAGGGGGGAGGAACCCCUCCGCCGAAUGCCCAAGGGUUCCUGGGGAAGGCUCAUCCGCCCAGGGUUAGUCGGGAGCUAAGGCGAGGUCGAAAGACGUAGUCGAUGCACAACAGGUUGAUAUUCCUGUACCACCAUGUGCGCGCCCAACCUAAUGGCGAAGCGAUCGGGGGCUGCCCUUCGGGGCGAACCCGGCCCGUGCGCCGGCAGGUAGCGAUGGGGGGACGCAGGAGGGUAGGUCUACCGGGCGAUGGUUGUCCCGGAGCAAGCAUGUAGGGGGACCGGUAGGUAAAUCCGCCGGUCAUCAACCCCGAGAUGUGAUGCCGAACCGCUUCAGGUGAAGUGACUGAUCCCAUGCUGCCGAGAAAAGCCCCUAGCGAGCUCACGUGGUGCCCGUACCCCAAACCGACUCAGGUGGGCACGUAGAGAAUACGAAGGCGAUCGGGAUAACUCUGGUUAAGGAACUCGGCAAAUUGCCCCCGUAACUUCGGAAGAAGGGGGGCCUCAGUAGAGUGAUGGACUUCGCGUCCUGAGCUCGAGGAGGCCGCAGAGACCAGGGCCAAGCGACUGUUUACUAAAAACACAGGUGCGUGCGAAGUCGUAAGACGAUGUAUACGCACUGACGCCUGCCCGGUGCCGGAAGGUUACGGGGAAGGGUUAGCCGUAAGGCGAAGCUCUGAACCUAAGCCCCGGUAAACGGCGGCCGUAACUAUAACGGUGAGUUUCGACUGGCCGUUAUUAAACUCAGCUAUAUGCUGGAACAUCCGAGUAUCCGGCGAUACUCGCUUCGGCGAGUGACAAUUCGACCGGUGCGGACAAUCAGCAGGAAACCGCGACCUGCGGGAUCCUCAGAGACUGCACGCUGAGCGCCCACGAUGAGACGCCAUUGUCGUCGAGCGAAGAUACAGUCCGACCCUCAUGGCGACAUGAGGAGCCAGGCAGAAAUGACCUGGCCGCGUUAUCGCAACCGGCGAUGACGAGGUAACAGAAGUGCCUAAGGUAGCGAAAUUCCUUGUCGGGUAAGUUCCGACCUGCACGAAUGGCGUAACGACUUGGCUACUGUCUCAACCAGAGACCCGGCGAAAUUGCACGACGAGUAAAGAUGCUCGUUUCCCGCAGUAGGACGGAAAGACCCCGUGGACCUUUACUACAGUUUGAUGUUGGGUUUCGGUACGUGCUGUGUAGGAUAGGUGGGAGUCUGGGAAGCUGGGGCGUUAGCCUCGGUGGAGACAACCUUGAAAUACCACCCUUCACGUGUUGAGGCUCUAACCCAGGCCCGUUAUCCGGGUCGGGAACAGCGUCAGGUGGGUAGUUUGACUGGGGCGGUCGCCUCCUAAAGAGUAACGGAGGCGCCCAAAGGUUCCCUCAGCCUGGUUGGCCAUCAGGCGUCGAGUGCAAAGACACAAGGGAGCUUGACUGCGAGACCUACAAGUCGAGCAGGUGCGAAAGCAGGGCUUAGUGACCCGGCCGUGGCGUGUGGAAGCGCGGUCGAUUAACGGAUAAAAGGUACCCCGGGGAUAACAGGCUUAUCUUGCCCAAGAGUCCACAUCGACGGCAAGGUUUGGCACCUCGAUGUCGGCUCGUCGCAUCCUGGGGGUGAAGCAUCUCCCAAGGGUUGGGCUGUUCGCCCAUUAAAGCGGUACGCGAGCUGGGUUUAGAA